CACCCAGGCUAGAGUGCAAUGGUGUGGUCUCGGCUCACUGCAACCUCCACUUCCUGGGUUCAAGCAAUUCUCCUGCCUCAGCCUCCUGAGUAGCUGGGACUACAGGUGCAUGGCAACACACCAGGCUAAUUUUUGUAUUUUUAGUAGAGAUGGGGUUUCAAAAUGUUGGUCAGGCUGGUCUCGAACUCCUGACCUCAAGAUCCAUCCACCUUGGCCUCCCAAAGUGCUGAGAUUACAGGUGUGAGCUACCGCACCCGGCCAGAUUUUUAAAAAUCUUUAUUAGAGAACCAAUUUUUGGUAUGUGAAUUCUAUCUAUAAAAUUUAUAUUAAUUUAUGCAUAUACUUAUUUCCUUAUGUUUCUACUUUGUGGGUUUGCUUUAUUUUCUUAACUUAGUUGGAAACUCAGGCCAUUUGUUUUAAGUCUUCUUUUGUAAUUUAUGUUUUUAAUAGUAAUAUUUUCUUGAUAUUCCAAAGUUUUGAUAUAAAAUACUCUUAUUAUUUUUAAGUUUUAAGAAUUUCAGAUUUCCGGUAUAAUUUAUUCCUUGACACAGAAGUUAUUUAGAUGUAUGUGUAUUUAUUAUUAAUAGCAAAUACAUAUUUGUUAUUAAUUUCUACUUAAUUGCAUUGUGGUCCUAAAGAGUAAUUUGUCUUAUAAUAUACUAGUUCAUUAUUAACUUUUGAAAAUGUUCCUUGUGUGUUGGAGGGGGAAAAGUGGCUACUUUACUAAUUAUUAGUUACAAUGCUUUAUUUUUAUUAAUUUAUUAUUAUUAUUUUGAGACGGAGUCUCACUCUGUGGCCUAGACUGGAGUGCACUGGUGUGAUCUCAGCUCACUGCAAUCUCUGCAGCCCGGGUUCAAGUGAUUCUCCUGCCUCAGCCUUCCGAGUAGCUGGGAUUACAGGUGUCCGCCACCACACCUGGCUAAUUUUUGUAUUUUCAGUAGAGAUGGGUUUCGCCAUGUUGCCAGGCUGGUCUUGAACUCCUGACCUCAGGUGAUCCACCCACCUCGGACUCCCAAAGUGCUGGGAUUAUAGGCAUGAGCCACUGCGCCUGGCCAGUUGCAGUGUUUUAAAUAUGUCCUUUAGAUCAAGCUUGUUAAUUCUGUGGUUAAUAUCUACAUAGAUACUAAUUUUUUGUUACGCGAUCUAGCAAAGGUUGAAAGAACUGCACUGAAAUUUCUGAUGGUGAAUUGCCACUUUUUUCUUGUAGUCUGUCAGUUUUUACUAUGUAUAUUCUGUGACAUUUUAUUAGCCAUAUAUAUGUUUAAAAUUUUUAGAUCAUCCUAGUGGUACUGUACUAUUUUAUAGUUAUGUAAUAAUGUAAGUAAUAUUACAUCAUGUAUAUGAGAUAUAUUUCUAUAUCUAAUAAUGCUUUUUCUCUUUAAAUGUAUUUGUCUGAUAUUAAUUGAUACUUGCUUAAAGAAUUGUAUUUGCUAGAUAUAGUUUUUCCAUCAUUUUACACCUUGCUUUUCUGUAUCCUUAUGUUUUGAAUGUAUCUCUUUUGAAUAGCCAAUACCUGGGUUUAAAAAAAAUCUAAUUAGACAAUAUAUACCUCAUAACUGUUAAAUUGAAAUCAUUUAUGGUUUUUGUUACUAUGAUUAUGUUUGGAAUGAUUGCCUCUUUAAAUUCUUACUCUGAAACUGGAAAGAAUGGUAAAAUAACUCCGGUUUCAAAUAGAAACUCCUUGCUGCUCCUUCAGGGAAAGCCAAGUGGAGGUUUCAAAGUCCUUUUCAUUUCCCUACCAAAACAAAAGCAACAAAAAAGAAAAUUAAAAAUCCUCAUUCUCCGGAAAUGCUUGAAGAAGGGAAAAAAUAAAUUGGAGAGACAAUGAUUGGCAAAACUGACAUCUUUAUUUAUUUUUAAUAAAAGAUAAAUGUAAUGUAGAGCCAUGGCCUUAUUCUUCUGAACUUCUGUGGGACUUACACAGUUUAUUAUGUAAGUCUCUGUAAUUCAAGUUACCCAGAGAGUUCAAUUUCAUGUGUGAUUAUUAUUGCCUAUUGAAAGUGCAUCUAAUUUGUUAUAACAGGAACCCUGUAGGGGAAAUAAUUGUAUGUUGUUAGCAAUGAAUAUAUGUAAACCUUUAAAAAUGAAUUAAUGUUUUUGAUAUGUUUAGAUCAAGCUAGUCUGUGUUCAAUUAUUGGAAGCAGGGAGUGAACGCUCUAAGAAAUAAAAUAACCUAGGGUGAAACACCUUAUUUUAUGAAAAACUAAUUUUUAGGAGCAUUUUCUUUUAUACUAUGUAAAAAAAUCUCUGAAAGAUGAACAGACUUUGACAGCUGUUAUAGGUGAGAGCCUCAAGUAAAGAUAAAAUUAAAUGUUUUCCUUAAAUGCUAUUGCCCAAAUAAUGAUUAUCCAUAAUUGAAAACUGAGAUUACCAUAUACUUUGCUUUGUUCUCUCUGCCAGAGUCCUACCCACUGUAUUAGUUGUUAGAGUUGUGGAACUUAACUGAAACUUUCUCUGGAUUCCAGAUGUUUUAAGAAUAUUUUCAGCUGCAUGGCUUGACAGCCUUGGGAUUCCCUCACACAUUCACAAUCUUUUUUGGAUCAGUCUGAUGUGAGCAUGAAAACUGGGAGUUGUGGAGCCCACUUAGGAAAUGAUUGCAAUUGUCCAGGAGACAGAUGAUGGUAAUAAAGUUUCCAUCAGCCUGGAACUCAGGGGACAGAAGAUACAUAUUCUGUAUGUAGAGAAUCACUGGAGGUCAAAUGUCUUUGCCAAUUUGAUUUUUUCCACUUGAACAAGAAAAGACUGUCAAGGGAAAGCCAAUCAAUUUCAAAAUGUUUAGAAAAUGAAUGUUAUUCUCAGAAGAGAACUCAAAAAGGAUUUCUAUGAAGACUCUGGCAGAAAACCAAGAAAUUUACAAAUGCAAGUGAUAUUUUCAUUUUCUUCUUUUAAAGACCAUGAUGUAACAUGAGAAAACAAAAUACCAGAAGUGAAAGGCUGGCUCCACUAAAGAUGUUCAAUAAUGAGAUUUGAUUUUUUUUAAAACACAUCUUUUAUGGGCUCUCAGGGCAUGGAAAUAAGACCAAGAAAGGUGUUUUUCUGGAGACUUUCCAAUCAAAGCAAUGAAGAUUUAAAGUGGAAUAAAAGGAUUGGGCAACAAAUAAAUUGAGUGUAAAAGAAGUCUGAUUCCUCAUUGUUGACAGGAAGACAGCCAUGGAUUGGGAAAAGAUUAGAGUGAAUCCUGUGAUGUUGGAUUGGGAUUGAAGAUAUCGAGAAUAAACUCCUGGAUCCAUAUUUCACACCUUAAGAAAGCACUCCAACCCCCAAGGACAUCAACUUCAACAGGAAAGCUGACCCUUCAACUUACCAAAUCUUGAAAGUUAUGUUAUUGGCAUCCAUCAAUAUGCUGGAUGGAUGCAAGGAAGAAAAGAGAAAAAGAAAAAUUAUAUGGGAAGUGGAAGAAAUAAAAGAAGUUGCAGAGCUGCUAAUAUAACUGGAUUAUCAGAAAGUGUCACCGAUUUUUUUCAGAUUAUAGCAGAGACUUAAUAUUGGCAGCUUUGAAUACUUCAGUUGCAAUGUAUACCACAGAACUUGUGAUGCUGAUGAUGACCAUGAGCAUGUUUCUGGAUGCCACUUCUCCAUGACAAAGACUUGUUAUUAUAUCUUCUUUCCAAAUGAUGUAAUAAAUUGAUGUGAGCAAAAAG